rnacentral:rRNA from 1 species
CAGCACCUCAAGUGGUCAGGAUGAUUAUUGGGCCUAAAGCAUCCGUAGCCGGCGCUGUAAGUUUUCGGUUAAAUCUGUACGCUCAACGUACAGGCUGCCGGGAAUACUGCAGCGCUAGGGAGUGGAAUAGGUAGACGGUACUCGGUAGGAAGGGGUAAAAUCCUUUGAUCUAUUGAUGACCACCUGUGGCGAAGGCGGUCUACCAGAACACGUCCGACGGUGAGGGAUGAAAGCUGGGGGAGCAUACCGGAUUAGAUACCCGAGUAGUCC